UGCUAGUUCAUUGUUUUAGUGCGUUCAAAAUGAGUCUGUGAGAGCAGAGGGCGGUCAGUGGGAUUGUGUACAGGCCUAUCAGAGCGGCGCGGUCCAUGAAGGUCUAGGUAUUUCCAGAGCCUCUGACAGGAUUACACAUAAUAACACAGCCCUGGAUUUAGAGAAUUAAGCUCCUGCCUUAUUUAUAGAUGGCACAUUUGAGAGUGCUGGUGAAACAAAGGCUCACAAAAGAGAAUGACUGAAGGUUGGUAAAUGUGUUAAACAACCCACUGUCCCGGCACAGAGUAAUCGGGGUAAAUAUGCCAGUCAAAAUUCCACUGCUGGAUCAUAUGCUCAUUAGAUUCAAAAGGAAGUCAAACUUCAGAGCAGGUCGACAGGAAGAGCAAGGGGAACUUGGACAAGCCCUGCGAGAGUGGGGGUUGGGAUCAUCUGAGGUCCUCUGAGGGGUUGGCAUCAUCUCUUCUCAGGUGUUCUGGAUCCAGACUGCAGCUUGUUUAAAUCCUAGAUUACCACGGGAUGUCAAUCCAGUGGCAAAACAGAGAAACAAAUAGAGGCAUAAUUAGCAUAGCUGCUGCUUCAACCAAGUAGAAUUAAUUUGUUUAACCCAAGCUAUAAAGAAUAAUAAUGUGCAUUUAAUCAGAUAUAGCUUCAGUACAAGAUUGAGAUAGAUUAUUUGAAUGCUUAGCCAAAGAGAUGUGUCUUUAAUCUAGAUUUAAACAGAGAGAGUGAGUUUGAACCCAGAACGAUAUAAGGAAGGCUAUUCCUGAACUUGGGAGCCAAAUACGAAAAAGCUGUACCU
rnacentral:lncRNA from 1 species